rnacentral:rRNA from 1 species
AUUGAACGCUGGCGGUAUGCUUAAGACAUGCAAGUCGAACGGUAACAGGUUAAGCUGACGAGUGGCGGACGAGUGAGUAACGCGUGGGAAUUUACCUUGUAGUGGGGGGAUAAGCCAGGGAAACUUGGACUAAUACCGCAUACGCCCUAAGGGGGAAAGGCGCAAGUCGCUAUAAGAUGAGCCCGCGUCUGAUUAGGUAGUUGGUGGGGUAAAGGCCUACCAAGCCGACGAUCAGUAGCUGGUCUGAGAGGAUGAUCAGCCACGUCGGGACUGAGACACGGCCCGGACUCCUACGGGAGGCAGCAGUCGGGAAUAUUGGACAAUGGGGGAAACCCUCGAUCCAGCAAUACCGCGUGUGUGAAGAAGGCCUGCGGGUUGUAAAGCACUUUCAGUUGGGAAGAUAAUGACGUUACCAACAGAAGAAGCACCGGCUAACUCCGUG